rnacentral:rRNA from 1 species
GUGGAAGUACAGCGAUGUACGGAGCGGACCGGUACUAAUAGACCGAGGACUUGACUAA